rnacentral:rRNA from 1 species
AUGACGCAGGUGGGAGGAGAUGGAUGGGUCCAUUUCAUUGCCCACAUGCGUAUCACCGGUGGUGAGUUGAUCAGCUUCUCCUUCAGAGCAGAAAGACCCAAGUUGGCCGUCAUUUAUGUCAACAAAGCGGAAGAUGGCGAAGAUGAUGAGGAUGAUGAGGAUGAUGACGACCCACUUGAUGAAGCCAUCGUAGCUCAAAGAAUGAGGUUGAGCGAGGAGGAGGUGUACAACCUAUGGGACAUAAUUCCGCCACGUGCUGACUUCGUCAGGGUGCCAUUCGUGACCCACCUGACAAGUACCAUGGUUGAUCGGCAUGUCAUGGAAUUGCCAAAGAACCUAUCUAAGAGUUGUGGUAUCAAGCCUCAUGAAGAAGGCUCUGCUAGAAUACGCCUAACCGCGAGGGGCUCCGUCACCACCUGUGCGUACGGCGUGGACACGCACGGUCGCACACACUUCAACUCGGUUGGGUGGAACAGCUUCCUCGUCGGCAAGAAUCUUCAUGUUGGACAGGCCAUCCUAAUUACUAUCAGGAACACCCACCACCAAGGCUUGAGGAUGAUGAUCGUCAUUGAUAUCAUCUAG